CACGGACACGGGCUCGGCACGGACACGGGCCCGCGCGGCGCCGGAGCGGAGCGGAGCUGAGCGGGGGGGGGGGGGGGGGG
rnacentral:miRNA from 12 species